GCCAGGUAGCUAAAGUGGUUCAGCGGGUGCGGCUCUUUAUAAGUAGCCUUCAAUAAUUCUCUGCACCGUACGCGGGUUCGAAUCCCGCCCUGGUCA